UCUCUCGUAGCUUAGUGGUCAGAGCAUUGCCGCGUAAAGCCAAAGUGCCCGGGUUCGAUUCUCGGCGAGGGUG
rnacentral:tRNA from 1 species